rnacentral:lncRNA from 7 species
UGUAACGCAGGGAAUAUCCCUUGUUAUGAAAAUAAAAAUCCACUCCGAUCCUCCCGUCCGUUGAGACCCUGACAAAAGAGGCUGUAGAGAGAUGGAGAUGCGAGAUAAACCCAUCGGGCAAUCUCAUUACGUGGCAACGAGCGAAGAGCCCUCCUCGCAAUCGACUCGAGAUAACGAGGCUGCCUGGAGGAACGAGCGAAGCCCGGAUAUUUACUUCUUUUCCUAUUAAAUAAACCUCAAUAACUG